rnacentral:misc_RNA from 1 species
CAGCUUUCGGAACAAAUGAAGUAGGGGCUGGAUCAUCUUUGUAUGGUCCAGUUAUUUCAUCAGGGUUUCUUCGAUCACCACCGUAUACUCCAUUGUUGUUGAAAACAAUCACAAUAACUGGUAACUGAUAUCGCACGAGCGUCUCUACUUCCAUCGCACUGAAGCCAAAACCCGAAUCCCCUUCAACCGCAACCACCAACCGCUCCGGUGAUGCCACCGCAGCCGCAAUGCAGUAUCCCAGACCAACCCCCAUCGUCCCCCACGUCCCCGCAUCAAG